CCCUUCUACAAAGGCAUGGCUAGGGUUUCCUGACUUCGGGUAUGUAAGAAUUGGAUGUAAAAACACAUGGAGUUGGUGAAAUUUGAGGUUACCUUGUUCUUUGCUGGCCCAAGAUCAGCAAUCCUACAUUU